GGGGGUGUAGCUCAGUGGGCAGAGCGCCUGCCUUGCACGCAGGAGGCCAGCGGUUCGAAUCCGCUCACCUCCACCA
rnacentral:tRNA from 1 species